rnacentral:rRNA from 1 species
AACGAACGCUGGCGGCAUGCCUAACACAUGCAAGUCGAACGAGACCUUCGGGUCUAGUGGCGCACGGGUGCGUAACGCGUGGGAACCUGCCCUUAGGUUCGGAAUAACUCCCCGAAAGGGGUGCUAAUACCGGAUAAUGUCUUCGGACCAAAGAUUUAUCGCCUUUGGAUGGGCCCGCGUUGGAUUAGCUAGUUGGUAGGGUAAAAGCCUACCAAGGCGAGGAUCCAUAGCUGGUCUGAGAGGAUGAUCAGCCACACUGGGACUGAGACACGGCCCAGACUCCUACGGGAGGCAGCAGUGGGGAAUAUUGGACAAUGGGCGAAAGCCUGAUCCAGCAAUGCCGCGUGAGUGAUGAAGGCCUUAGGGUUGUAAAGCUCUUUUACCCGGGAUGAUAAUGACAGUACCGGGAGAAUAAGCUCCGGCUAACUCCGUG